rfam:Triticum urartu cultivar G1812 contig874167, whole genome shotgun sequence.
CAAAUACUCCAUUCGUCCAGAAAUACUUGUCAUCAAAAUGGAUGAAAGGAAAUGUAUCUAGACGUAUUUUAGUUUUAGUUACAUCUCUUUUUAUCCAUUUUGAUGACAAGUAUUUUCGGACGGAGGGAGUAGAAA